GGUCUAAAUCGUUCAUCACUGAACGACAUGACCGUGAAGACCCAUGGAAGGUACUGAACCCUGCGUUUAGCGACUCUUCCAUGGGCCACAUAGGGAAACUUAUGUGGGGCCGCAAGGCCU
rnacentral:sRNA from 1 species